UUUAGAGGAAGUAAAAGUCGUAACAAGGUUUCCGUAGGUGAACCUGCGGAAGGAUCAUUAGUGAAUAUUAGGGCGUCCAACUUAACUUGGAGCCCGAACUCUCACUUUCUAACCCUGUGCAUCUGUUUCUGGUCAGUAGCUCUCUCGGGAGUGAACGCCAUUCACUUAAAACACAAAGUCUAUGAAUGUAUAAAAUUUAUAACAAAACAAAACUUUCAACAACGGAUCUCUUGGCUCUCGCAUCGAUGAAGAACGCAGCGAGAUGCGAUAAGUAAUGUGAAUUGCAGAAUUCAGUGAAUCAUCGAAUCUUUGAACGCACCUUGCGCUCUCUGGUAUUCCGGAGAGCAUGCCUGUUUGAGUGUCAUGAAAUCUUCAACCCUCUCUUUUCUUAGUGAAUCGAGAGGUGCUUGGAUCCUGAGCGUCGCUGGCUUCGGCCUAGCUCGUUCGUAAUGCAUUAGCAUCCGCAAUCGAACUUCGGAUUGACUUGGCGUAAUAGACUAUUCGCUGAGGAUUCUGGUCUCGUACCAGAGCCGGGUUGGGUUAAAGGAAGCUUCUAAUCCUAAAAGUCUAACUUUUGAUUAGAUCUCAAAUCAGGUAGGACUACCCGCUGAACUUAAGCAUAUCAAUAAG
rnacentral:rRNA from 1 species